AGCGAACGCUGGCGGCAGGCUUAACACAUGCAAGUCGAGCGGGCGUAGCAAUACGUCAGCGGCAGACGGGUGAGUAACGCGUGGGAACAUACCUUUUGGUUCGGAACAACACAGGGAAACUUGUGCUAAUACCGGAUAAGCCCUUACGGGGAAAGAUUUAUCGCCGAAAGAUUGGCCCCGCGUCUGAUUAGCUAGUUGGUGAGGUAAUGGCUCACCAAGGCGACGAUCAGUAGCGGUCUGAGAGGAUGAUCAGCCACAUUGGGACUGAGACACGGCCCAAACUCCUACGGGAGGCAGCAGUGGGGAAUAUUGGACAAUGGGCGCAAGCCUGAUCCAGCCAUGCCGCGUGAGUGAUGAAGGCCCUAGGGUUGUAAAGCUCUUUUGUGCGGGAAGAUAAUGACGGUACCG
rnacentral:rRNA from 1 species